GCCCCGGCCGGCGGAGCUCGGCUGCGGGCCGGGGGUGCGCCGCUCCCCCGGGAGAACCGAGGCUCCCCCGGGAGGGAGGGGAAGGGCCGGGGGUCUGCCGUGUGCUGCUGACCCCCCAGGUCCUGGCAGUGCUCCUCUGUCCCACCAGCAAACUCCGGGAGAAGCCCCCAGAGCUCCUUCCAGGAAAAGCAGUUCCGACCGCAGCACCACGGCUGCAAAAACACAGCGGCUUGCAGGGUGCAUGUGAUGAUGAAUAAGCAUGAAACCGUG